AAAAGCUCAAUCACCACAUAUCAACAAUAUUUGGAAAGACUCAUAAAAGAUUCAUACAAUGAUAAAAGAUGUGAUGUUUUCCCAUGUUUGAAAUCUCAAGAUACAGCUCAAUGCUUGAAAACACUCUAGACUUUGAAAAUUGACAUAUUUGGUGACGAAGCGGAAACGGAAGUAGAAGCAGACAAUGGCCG